ensembl:lncRNA
AUAUAUAAAGGGUGUACUUACAAAAACAGUGCAAUAUUAAAUGACAGGUGGGUUUUUAAGAUGGGCGUGUACGGAAACACACAAAAUUUUAGACGCUGCAACCGGUAGUGAGUCAGGGUUGGCUGCCAUUUCAGAGCGUUAUCGAAGCUUAAACACACAGACAGCUCCUGCAUACAGCGUAAACAGGAACUAUUGCAGUACGACGCAGGAAGAACCCUUAAAACCACUGAGCUAGAGACGCGAGAAUCCAUCUUAUUAAUGCAGUUUACACAUACAAGUCUUCACAGAGACAUUACAUAAACCAGCAGGUUCACACGAAGAAAGACGCGCCACGUGCAAACUCGUGAGACGUUUGAAUGCUUGAGAUUCUUCUUCCUUCAAGAUGCUUUCAGGAUCAAAUGCGCUGGCGUUCUACGUCAUGGUACUUGGGAAUGUUCUGGGUGCCCAAACCAAGUUCAUUGAGCGACUGCAAAAACGUCUUCAUCUCCGUGAAGUGUAUUCAGUGGAGGAGUGUGACGUUGUCAUUGCUUUUGUCCCUGUCGUGUCUCGGGCUGGAACGGACAUACAAUCUGCUCUUCAAAAGCUUGAGACGAGUCAGCCUGUUGUCCUCGUGGUGUUCCAUCACACGUUUGAUGUAAAUUACGUUGCUCCAGAUAGCAAACUGUCUGUGAAGAAGGAUGGUGUGUUUGCUGUGGACAUCCUCUUUCAUGAAGAUGAUGGACCUUUGAACAGCCUGCACAAUGACAAGAUGCUGAAAUCUACUACUGAUUAUCUGAUCUCUAAGGGCGCUUCACCGGAUAUUCAGGUAAGUUUUGAACAGCUAGCAAAGAAAACAGUUUUACAGUACUGCACUAAUUCUACCUCUUUUCCCGACAGACUGAUCCAGCAGAAACAUCCAGACGAGCUCAACUAAGGCUGAUUGUAGUCUCCGUUUUGCUCGGUUGUGUUGUUGCUGGUGUUGUUUCUGCAAUAACUUGGAUAUUCAUUGUUAAUUUUCAUAAACUGUAAAUAUGCAGCAAACUAAUCUGUCUUAAACCACAUAAAAUAACGAACCAACAAAUGUAAUAUCUUUCUCAUAAUCAAGAUCACAUUACGAUAAACAACAACAACAACAACAACAAAAAAAAAGCCCAAAAUAAAAUUUUAAGGAGAGGUUAAAGAUUUCAUUAGCACCUUAGCAUAAUUAUUCUGCUAGUAAGUAAUAGCUAAUAGCUAGCUGUAUGCAGUAGUCAAUGUUAUCUAACGUUGAGCAGCAUCAGAUAAGUUAGAUAAAACAACAUUAAUAUUAGAAAAUUUGACCAGUGCCUUCAGAAGGUCUGAAUAUGUCAAGAAGUGACCUGCCCGUGAUAAAAAGUUAUCUGUAAGUGUAUUUAAUAAACAGCACAGAAAUAUAGAAAAGAUCGAGUUAGGAGGGUAAUGUUGGCUAGUUAGCGUAAAUAUGAAUUGGAUCAGAUAACAAAAUACACCAUAAAAGUACACAUACCCUGAGGGUAAGUUUUGUUCUCAUGCUGUCUUUUAGCUAGCUAGCUAACGUUAAUCGCUUCGCUAUCUAGAAUUAUUAAGUUGACUGUAAACAAUGUAACAUCUGGUAAGGUGCUCGAUUAAUCCACAGUAUUUCUGUCAAACAUGCAGCAUUUUUAAGCAAUGAGUGUGUCUCCAUCACGGCUCCAGAGCACUAGAAGGUCAUCUGUAGUGUCUGAUGGGAAGCCGAGGAGCGAGGAUAGUGCCCUUGGGAUAAAUAUGUGAAUGGGAUCUGUCUCUGAUUAAGGAGCAGAAGUUGUCAACAAGGAGACAGAAGAAGUAAUGUUUUUCCCUUACUGUGUCAUAUUCUUGUUAUUUAUGCUGCGCUUACCAUUUAUGGGGAAAAAAAAAAAGUUCAUAUUCACAGUUGAGUUGGAAUUUUGGGAGCUUUCAUACUGCCUGUAUUUUUCAGAACAUUUUGAGGCAGUUCAGUAUGUACACGUGCUGUGUGUCCAAGAAAAUGGUCUUAAAUACUCGUUUUAGUUUCUAUUUCAUUUCAAAAUGAAUUAGAGCUGAUAAAUUUUCACUGCCAUUAUUAAUAAGAUAUUGUGGUAAUGUUUACCAUGAAUACAGCUAAAUGCUAAUGCUGG